AGUGAACGCUGGCGGUAGGCCUAACACAUGCAAGUCGAACGGCAGCACAGUAAGAGCUUGCUCUUACGGGUGGCGAGUGGCGGACGGGUGAGGAAUACAUCGGCAUCUACUUUUUCGUGGGGGAUAACGUAGGGAAACUUACGCUAAUACCGCAUACGACCUACGGGUGAAAGCAGGGGAUCUUCGGACCUUGCGCGAUUGAAUGAGCCGAUGUCGGAUUAGCUAGUUGGCGGGGUAAAGGCCCACCAAGGCGACGAUCCGUAGCUGGUCUGAGAGGAUGAUCAGCCACACUGGAACUGAGACACGGUCCAGACUCCUACGGGAGGCAGCAGUGGGGAAUAUUGGACAAUGGGCGCAAGCCUGAUCCAGCCAUGCCGCGUGAGUGAAGAAGGCCUUCGGGUUGUAAAGCCCUUUUGUUGGGAAAGAAAAGCAGCAGGUUAAUACCCCGCUGUUCUGACGGUACCCAAAGAAUAAGCACCGGCUAACUUCGUG
rnacentral:rRNA from 1 species